rnacentral:lncRNA from 1 species
AAGGGGCUCACAGCUGCUGGGCUGUGAACAAGCUGGACUUGGCUGUCUCACAACUGAAGAGGCAUUGAAGGGCAGGCUGGCGAUCCAGGCAAAGGGAACUGGGAGGAUUUCUUCCACUGGGACUGUCCCAAGAAAACCCUGGACCAACCCUGUCUCAGGCAGGUCAGAGCUCCAAGAUGGCUCAGCAGGAAAAGGUGUCUAUCACCAAGACUGACAGCUCAACCUGGGGCUCAGGCUGUAGAAGGAGAAAGCUGACUCUUGAAAGUUGUCCUGUGACAUAUAGCAUCACACACACACACACACACACACACACACACACCCGCGCAGCUGACUCUUGAAAGUUGUCCUGUGACAUAUAGCAUCACACACACACACACCCGCGCCUAGGCUCUUUAACCACAGAGAUAGAAACAAGGCCGGAGGGUGGGGUACCUCCUCUGUGUUCAUGUCUUCUCAGUGGCUCUGACCCUGCUCUGUACUCUUCUAUCUGGUCUCGGUCUUUUAACAUUCACUUCUGCUGUGUCACUUUCCUGGCCAGACAACUUUAGGGACCCUCCACCCCCUCCCCCAGCCCCUAUUCUGAGGAAUAGAUUCCAGCUCCCACACCUUCCAUGCAUGGUACCUGAGCCUUGGCUCCCUUCUAACAGCAUGAUUCACAUGUCAUGCAUUCAGUCUGCAAAGUUUUGGUCAGUUCUUGUUUUGUGCCAAUCUCAGGAACAUAGAUGCUUAAGUGUUCAGGAGCUAAGUGUGUUUUGAGAGCUCAGAGUCGGGGGCUCUGAGGAGGGGCACGGACAGAGACAGAGACUGGGCUCCUGCCAGCUCCCUUCUUGCUGGUUUCCUGUUUACAGCUGCCCAUCCCGCCAGCACAGCACACAGAUGCUCCAGAGAACUUUGGUGAAUUUUCAGACCUGCAGUUCAAUUACAGAAAGAGAAGCAGGCAACUUGGAAUCCGCCUUCAGCAGCCCUGAAAACCUCUGAGGAAGCCCCUCUAAUCCCUCCAUGUCACGCGCACUCCUCGACUUCUGCCUUCCUCUCUCUCCCCCCCAUCUGAGGACAUAUGGCCCCUUGAAGUUUUUGUUUGCUUGCAGGGGAAAAACCCACCCUGCCAGUGUGGAGUGUUUCUCUUUCUCUUAUUAUUAUUAUUAUUAAGCAUCAGGAGACAGCAAUCUGCGUGCAGAUACCGUGCGUGCAUAAUUAAUAAAAAAUCUCAUUAUUUAUUU